UUAUCUGGGUGAGGUUAGCAUAGGGCUAAACGUGUGCCAUUUUAUCUGGGUGAGGUUAGCAUAGGGCUAAACGUGUACCAUUUUAUCUGGGUGAGGUUAGCAUAAGGCUAAACAUGUGCCAUUUUAUCUGGGUGAGGUUAGCAUAGGGCUAAACAUGUGCCAUUUUAUCUGGGUGAGGUUAGCAUAAGGCUAAACGUGUGCCAUUUUAUCUGGGUGAGGUUAGCAUAGGGCUAAACGUGUGCCAUUUUAUCUGGGUGAGGUUAGCAUAGGGCUAAACCUGUGCCAUUUUAUCUGGGUGAGGUUAGCAUAGGGCUAAACGUGUGCCAUUUUAUCUGGGUGAGGUUAGCAUAAGGCUAAACGUGUGCCAUUUUAUCUGGGUGAGGUUAGCAUAGGGCUAAACCUGUGCCAUUUUAUCUGGGUGAGGUUAGCAUAGGGCUAAACAUGUGCCAUUUUAUCUGGGUGAGGUUAGCAUAAGGCUAAACGUGUGCCAUUUUAUCUGGGUGAUGUUAGCAUAGGGCUAAACGUGUGCCAUUUUAUCUGGGUGAGGUUAGCAUAGGGCUAAACCUGUGCCAUUUUAUCUGGGUGAGGUUAGCAUAGGGCUAAACAUGUGCCAUUUUAUCUGGGUGAGGUUAGCAUAAGGCUAAACGUGUGCCAUUUUAUCUGGGUGAUGUUAGCAUAGGGCUAAACGUGUGCCAUUUUAUCUGGGUGAGGUUAGCAUAAGGCUAAACGUGUGCCAUUUUAUCUGGGUGAGGUUAGCAUAGGGCUAAACCUGUGCCAUUUUAUCUGGGUGAGGUUAGCAUAGGGCUAAACAUGUGCCAUUUUAUCUGGGUGAGGUUAGCAUAGGGCUAAACAUGUGCCAUUUUAUCUGGGUGAGGUUAGCAUAAGGCUAAACGUGUGCCAUUUUAUCUGGGUGAUGUUAGCAUAGGGCUAAACGUGUGCCAUUUUAUCUGGGUGAGGUUAGCAUAAGGCUAAACGUGUGCCAUUUUAUCUGGGUGAGGUUAGCAUAGGGCUAAACGUGUGCCAUUUUAUCUGGGUGAGGUUAGCAUAGGGCUAAACGUGUGCCAUUUUAUCUGGGUGAGGUUAGCAUAGGGCUAAACCUGUGCCAUUUUAUCUGGGUGAGUUUAGCAUAAGGCUAAACGUGUGCCAUUUUAUCUGGGUGAGGUUAGCAUAAGGCUAAACGUGUGCCAUUUUAUCUGGGUGAGGUUAGCAUAAGGCUAAACGUGUGCCAUUUUAUCUGGGUGAGGUUAGCAUAACGCUAAACGUGUGCCAUUUUAUCUGGGUGAGGUUAGCAUAAGGCUAAACGUGUGCCAUUUUAUCUGGGUGAUGUUAGCAUAGGGCUAAACGUGUGCCAUUUUAUCUGGGUGAGGUUAGCAUAGGGCUAAACGUGUGCCAUUUUAUCUGGGUGAGGUUAGCAUAUGGCUAAACGUGUGCCAUUUUAUCUGGGUGAGGUUAGCAUAGGGCUAAACCUGUGCCAUUUUAUCUGGGUGAGGUUAGCAUAGGGCUAAACGUGUGCCAUUUUAUCUGGGUGAGGUUAGCAUAGGGCUAAACGUGUGCCAUUUUAUCUGGGUGAGGUUAGCAUAGGGCUAAACCUGUGCCAUUUUAUCUGGGUGAGGUUAGCAUAGGGCUAAACAUGUGCCAUUUUAUCUGGGUGAGGUUAGCAUAAGGCUAAACGUGUGCCAUUUUAUCUGGGUGAUGUUAGCAUAGGGCUAAACGUGUGCCAUUUUAUCUGGGUGAGGUUAGCAUAAGGCUAAACGUGUGCCAUUUUAUCUGGGUGAGGUUAGCAUAGGGCUAAACCUGUGCCAUUUUAUCUGGGUGAGGUUAGCAUAGGGCUAAACAUGUGCCAUUUUAUCUGGGUGAGGUUAGCAUAAGGCUAAACGUGUGCCAUUUUAUCUGGGUGAUGUUAGCAUAGGGCUAAACGUGUGCCAUUUUAUCUGGGUGAGGUUAGCAUAAGGCUAAACGUGUGCCAUUUUAUCUGGGUGAGGUUAGCAUAGGGCUAAACGUGUGCCAUUUUAUCUGGGUGAGGUUAGCAUAGGGCUAAACGUGUGCCAUUUUAUCUGGGUGAGGUUAGCAUAGGGCUAAACCUGUGCCAUUUUAUCUGGGUGAGUUUAGCAUAAGGCUAAACGUGUGCCAUUUUAUCUGGGUGAGGUUAGCAUAAGGCUAAACGUGUGCCAUUUUAUCUGGGUGAGGUUAGCAUAAGGCUAAACGUGUGCCAUUUUAUCUGGGUGAGGUUAGCAUAACGCUAAACGUGUGCCAUUUUAUCUGGGUGAGGUUAGCAUAAGGCUAAACGUGUGCCAUUUUAUCUGGGUGAUGUUAGCAUAGGGCUAAACGUGUGCCAUUUUAUCUGGGUGAGGUUAGCAUAGGGCUAAACGUGUGCCAUUUUAUCUGGGUGAGGUUAGCAUAUGGCUAAACGUGUGCCAUUUUAUCUGGGUGAGGUUAGCAUAGGGCUAAACGUGUGCCAUUUUAUCUGGGUGAGGUUAGCAUAGGGCUAAACCUGUGCCAUUUUAUCUGGGUGAGUUUAGCAUAAGGCUAAACGUGUGCCAUUUUAUCUGGGUGAGGUUAGCAUAAGGCUAAACGUGUGCCAUUUUAUCUGGGUGAGGUUAGCAUAAGGCUAAACGUGUGCCAUUUUAUCUGGGUGAGGUUAGCAUAACGCUAAACGCGUGCCAUUUUAUCUGGGUGAGGUUAGCAUAAGGCUAAGCGUGUGCCAUUUUAUCUGGGUGAGGUUAGCAUAAGGCUAAACGUGUGCCAUUUUAUCUGGGUGAGGUUAGCAUAAGGCUAAACGUGUGCCAUUUUAUCUGGGUGAGGUUAGCAUAAGACUAAACGUGUGCCAUUUUAUCUGGGUGAGGUUAGCAUAAGGCUAAACGUGUGCCAUUUUAUCUGGGUGAGGUUAGCAUAGGGCUAAACGUGUGCCAUUUUAUCUGGGUGAGGUUAGCAUAGGGCUAAACGUGUGCCAUUUUAUCUGGGUGAGGUUAGCAUAACGCUAAACGUGUGCCAUUUUAUCUGGGUGAGGUUAGCAUAGGGCUAAACGUGUGCCAUUUUAUCUGGGUGAGGUUAGCAUAGGGCUAAACGUGUGCCGUUUUAUCUGGGUGAGGUUAGCAUAGGGCUAAACCUGUGCCAUUUUAUCUGGGUGAGUUUAGCAUAAGGCUAAACGUGUGCCAUUUUAUCUGGGUGAGGUUAGCAUAAGGCUAAACGUGUGCCAUUUUAUCUGGGUGAGGUUAGCAUAAGGCUAAACGUGUGCCAUUUUAUCUGGGUGAGGUUAGCAUAAGGCUAAACGUGUGCCAUUUUAUCUGGGUGAGGUUAGCAUAAGACUAAACGUGUGCCAUUUUAUCUGGGUGAGGUUAGCAUAAGGCUAAACGUGUGCCAUUUUAUCUGGGUGAGGUUAGCAUAGGGCUAAACGUGUGCCAUUUUAUCUGGGUGAGGUUAGCAUAAGGCUAAACGUGUGCCAUUUUAUCUGGGUGAGGUUAGCAUAACGCUAAACGUGUGCCAUUUUAUCUGGGUGAGGUUAGCAUAACGCUAAACGUGUGCCAUUUUAUCUGGG